rnacentral:misc_RNA from 1 species
AUGAUUUUUUUUUUAAUUUUAGUUAUAACAAUUUAUAGCAAUUUAGCUUAAGUUGAUACUCCGUUUAAAUCAAUGACCAGAAUACAAUUAAAUAAUGGACAAUUUUGUAAUUCUAAAUGACAAUGGAAAAAAUAUAACAUUUUAUAUAUAUAUGAACGAAAUUUUGUCAUCUUCUUCAACCAGCUAGAUUCCCAUAAACCUAAUUGAAGCCCAAAUGUAAUAAACUGAGGCUCCGCACCUUUUCAAUAAAAUAAAUUGAUUUUGGAGGCUGGCCAAAUUUCCAUAUACUAUUAAAUUGAAUAUAAGCAAGGACCAAGAACUUCAAGCUUGAAAUUUGAGAGAUUUGAACAGGUAAUAAACCUGAGAAAUUGUUGUGGCUUGAGUAUAAUCGAGCAACAUUGGAUUGCUUGAGAAUACUGGAAGAAUAUAAGAAAUCGAUGCAUGGAUUUUUAAGUAAUAACAUAAACACAUGAUACGAUGCAUUAAUAAAUUACACUGUUAUGCUCAAUUCAAACAGAGUAAAUCUCUUUAAAAAUUUAUGGUAUAUCUUCUUAAAUUUUCGAAAGAUCAAAAGAAAAUUUUUCUAUAAAGUAAUAAAAUUCUAGACUAAAUUUUGCCUAUUCCACGAUAGAAAUUAUUUUCUAAAAGGUCUAACUUUGAGGCUAUAAUUUAUCAGCAAAACUGUAUUGCAUAGCUUCUCCAAUAAGAAAAAUUCUGAAAUAAUCAGAUAAAUUGACAAGUAAUAAUCAGGGAUUUGGAGAGUGAUGAGCAAGCUCAUGGAAGAUGCAACCAGCAGCGUAUAGAUAAAGGAAAGAGCACAUGAGUUGAUACUUACGGCCUAAGUUUAGGUAACCUCUGCUUCAACAAUAUGCGUCAUAGCCACUUAUAAUUAUCCAUUACUUCCGCAACCAAGAAACAAAACUUGAAGUCUAAUCAACCUAGCGAGCUUUCUAAAUAAAGAAUACCUGAGCAAGUAGGAAAUAAUUAAGCAAAACAAAUCCACGAAAUUAAUGAUCCUAACACAAUUUAGGUUCCGGCUUCUGCUUUCUUUUGAACCAGU